AAUAAAAUAAAAAGGCCGGCCAAUUCAAUUAGCCGUUCUCUCUCUCCGGAACCAAUCCCAAAAACCCUAGCAAAGCCCAUUUCCCUCAACCCUGAAGUGAACCCUAAACCGUGAAAAUAUGUUACUGAAUCUCAAGUUGGUGCAGUUUCUUGAGCAAAGGAAGCUACCAAUCUGAAAGGCAUUCGAGAUCCUGGUUUUCUGAGAAAUUGAGAUUUGGAAACGGGACUCGUGUGACGCUAUACUGAAGCGCAGAAGUUCAAGUACUUGGUUGUGAUUCCAUUGUCUUGCAUUUGUUCUCUCCAGAGGAGAUCGUAACUCCAUGAGUUCAAGUGCCACUGAAGAAAUAGCAAUAUAAGAGUGAAAGAAGGCUCCUAUUUCUUGUCAGUAUAACAAUCGUCUCUGUUUUCAAUAGCGAAUUUAACCAGACACAAGUAGGGAAGGAUAGCUGCUCAUACAGAUACCUGCUUUUACUUUGAUUUACCUUGUAUAGAAAUUCGAAAACCCAAGAAGGACAAAGAUCUGCGGCACCGGUAGAGCGUAUGGGAGAGAUUGUGAAGACGUAAAAGCAACUGCUGGCAAAGAGUCAGGAAAGGUGCUUGAUUCACUUAGCAGUCAAUUUAUCCUCAGCUUUCUGAAUUUUCCAAGUGUGUUUUCAUUUUUAUCGUAGCGUGUUUGUGUGUGUAUGUGUGCGAGUGCAUCAUCCUACAUUGCUUCCUUAAGUAUUACAGUAAGGCAUGACACGACUCCAUUACAUCAGAAAAACCAAAGUUUGCAAAGAAUGUGGAGCAUUCCAUAAGAAUGACCAUGUCUGCCCAAGAACGAGCCCGAAGGCUUAUCUAAUAACCACUACUAUAACCCUUGUUUCAAAAGCCGGCCGUCCAGUUGAUAUAUAGUCUUUGAGACUUCCCGGUGGCUGGAAGCACCUUGGCUUGCUGCUAUGCAGUUGUGGGGAGAACCGGAGAAACAAAAUGUUAAAUAGACUUUAUGGGCAAUGAUCUGUGUGUAUUUAUUGACACAUGGUUAUGGUCGAUUCGUACUUUAAGCUUUAAUGGUACUCGAGUUUCGAGGAUAGAUUAGUUUCCGUUGCAUGUAGUAUUAGAUAGUAUAUUGUUUUAGAAAACAUUGCCAAUUGAGACUACAUGUUAAAUUUUGUCAGAUCAGAUUUCUCUGAGUCAUGUCUGGGAGGCAUGAUUGAUUGUUAUUCUCGUACAGUGGAACAUAAUCAUUGGUAAUGAUGUACUGCUAUCAUGGUUUUCUUGUGGUUUACUCUUUAUGAGCAGCUUCAGGUAUGAU